rfam:Schistosoma curassoni strain Dakar, Senegal genome assembly, scaffold: SCTD_contig0002522
AUCCAGUUGACGAGUCCAAACUAGGACGAAACGCCUGUCGUGGAU